rnacentral:piRNA from 1 species
UAAAAUUAGUUUAUUUUUUUAACCUAUUGC